UCUGCUCCUUGAUUCCAGUAUGAGAUACUGU
rnacentral:piRNA from 1 species